rnacentral:ncRNA from 1 species
CUAACAUCUAUGCGAGUGUUCGGGUGUCAAACCCCUACGCGGAAUGAAAGUGAACGGAGGUGGGAACCGCAAGGUGCACCAUCGACCGAUCCUGAUGUCUUCGGAUGGAUUUGAGUAAGAGCAUAGCUGUUGGGACCCGAAAGAUGGUGAACUAUGCCUGAAUAGGGUGAAGCCAGAGGAAACUCUGGUGGAGGCUCGCAGCGGUUCUGACGUGCAAAUCGAUCGUCAAAUUUGGGUAUAGGGGCGAAAGACUAAUCGAACCAUCUAGUAGCUGG